AAUCAGAAAAAAGGGCGGAUGUGCAAUCUUCACCUGUUUAUUCGGUAGAGGGUGCCAUCUUCAGGUAGCCCUUCACGUUGUACAGAAAACAAUGGAGACUUCUCCUCCUGGGGCAGUGGUGUCACCCUUCCUAAGCUUCAGAGAUGCUGCUUCAACUUACAGCUCAGAUAACAAGUGCCACUUCCAGGCUAAAGGAAUCCAUUCAGCAAACUCCCAGUAUGAAUGUUUCUGCUCUCGGCUGGAGAAAAAGCAGCAGCAUUAAUGGAGGAGGAGAGGGAUUCUAGAGCAGCACAGUCCAAUAAAACUUUCUGUGGGGAUGGAAAUGAUCUAUUAUCUGUGCUGCCCAAUAUGCCAGCUGCUAGCUCCAAUUAGCUACUGGGCACCUAAAAUGUGGCUAGUGCAGCUGAGAAACAGAGCCUUUCAUUUUAUUUCACUUCAGUUAAGCAUUCUAGAGCUCUUGCCUCUAGAGCAGUGCUUUUUAGUAA